GGGACUGUGGGGUAGCUUGGUCAUCCUAUGGCGUUCGGGACGCCGUGACUCCGGUUCAAAUCCGGACAGUCCCA
rnacentral:tRNA from 1 species